AAUAAGUGUAGUUUUAGCAUUGUUCAUGUCCAACAUUUGACCGUUCGUCUUAUUUGAAAAAAAAUUAUGAUUAGUAUUUUUAUUGUUAUUAGAUGAUAAAACAUGAAUAGUACUUUAUGUGUGACUAUUUUUUUAAAUAUUUUUUAUAAUUUUUUUAAAUAAAACGGAUGAUCAAAACGUUCAGUACGUAUAUCUAUGACUGUACUUAUU
rfam:Oryza barthii chromosome 2, whole genome shotgun sequence.